UUCUUUGGACUGCUUGUUGUAUAUAAUCAGGAUUCAGUCUUAUGUUUGCCGAGCUAAAUAUGAGGACACAUCAAAUGUUAUCUCAAGUGAAGUGCAUGGAAUCAUUUUGUAAUACUUGGCUCUCUAACAUUUUGUUAAUAUACAUAUAUGUGUGGGUAUCA